CAGAAGAUCGCUCAGCGCUGCACUGCUGAUGGAGGUUCACGAGCUCUGAGUGAGAGAUGUGAAGCGACUCGACUGUACGAGCUCAAAGUCGUAGCUGAGCGUUUUAGAACAACAAUCUUCAACUGGGAUGAAGAGGCGUUUGUUGUCACUCGUUCACACCUGCAGGUUUUGGUGAAUCUGUGUGAGUGUGGGUUGGAGGUUCAGAGCAUCACUGCAGCCAUUGAUUAUGUUGGUCAACGGAUUCGGUUCUAAAGGAGACACCAGACGCUGUGGAGUGACAGCAGAUUUUAUUCUUCUUUAAUCUUUCAUUUAGAUUUUUCUUAACUAUCCAUAGAUGCAUCCCAUAAUUAUAUCUUUUAGAACACAGAUCUAAUGAUGUUUAGGAGCAUGUUACAAUGAGUCAAU